rnacentral:rRNA from 1 species
CAGCCGCCGCGGUAAUACAGAGGGUGCGAGCGUUAAUCGGAUUUACUGGGCGUAAAGCGUGCGUAGGCGGCUUUUUAAGUCGGAUGUGAAAUCCCUGAGCUUAACUUAGGAAUUGCAUUCGAUACUGGGAAGCUUGAGUAUGGGAGAGGAUGGUAGAAUUCCAGGUGUAGCGGUGAAAUGCGUAGAGAUCUGGAGGAAUACCGAUGGCGAAGGCAGCCAUCUGGCCUAACACUGACGCUGAGGUACGAAAGCAUGGGGAGCAAACAGGAUUAGAGACCCCCGUAGUCCCUGUCUCUUAUAC